CACAGAAUAUUCUGAGCUGGAAGGGACUCAAAUCGAGUCCAACCCUUCAGUGAAUGGUGGCACCCGAUGACUGACCCUGUCCAAUAUCCCAACCUUGAUCCCACGAAGCCCAAAGCCUUCAGGUGCCCUCUGAAACCUCUGGCACAGAAAACUCAUGUUGAGCACUGAACUCCAGGAGUUCCAGGAGGGUUUGACAACGCUCUGAGGGACAGGCACGUCGGUGCUCGUGCCCACAGGAGUCUUUCACUGAGAUGAAGAACUGACUGACCAGAAACAAGAGAAAAGACAACUUGAGACCUGACCUGAGCAAUAUACCAGCCUUUAGAACAGACUUUAAAGGAAAUUGUAAUUAAAAGCAUUGAAGUAAAUAGAAAGAGGGAUUAAAUACCACAUGGAUUUCCCAAAGGCA